UACGUAGGGUGCGAGCGUUAAUCGGAAUUACUGGGCGUAAAGCGUGCGCAGGCGGUUUGCAAGCCGGAUGUGAAAUCCCCGGGCUCAACCUGGGACUUGCAGUUGAAACUGGAAAGCUAGAGUAGGGUAGAGGGUGUGGAAUUCCAGGUGUAGCGGUGAAAUGCGUAGAUAUCUGGAGGAACAUCAGUGGCGAAGGCGACACCCUGGACUCAUACUGACACUGAGGUGCGAAAGCGUGGGAGCAAACAGG
rnacentral:rRNA from 1 species